rfam:Acromyrmex echinatior unplaced genomic scaffold scaffold424, whole genome shotgun sequence.
UAAGAGGUUUCUCUAGAAACCACCAAUUAGAUGAUAAAGCGAGAAU